rnacentral:lncRNA from 1 species
UCGUCUUUGUGGGAAGAGGUUGCGUCCGUACUACAUUUUCCCGGUUGUAGAUCUAUGGCGCAUCUCUGCGUUACGGUGGCGCGCGCUUCCGUCACGAGGGUCCUCAGCGCGGGAUAUGUUCUUUCAUCUGCUCAAACCUUUCGUUUGUUCCGGCGGAGUGGAGCGGUGGCGCGUGAGUUUCCUCCUCCGCUUGGCGUCUCGUCGGAGAAGCCUCAUGUCGUCUCUCUCAGGUGGCACUCGGCGUGUCUCUCACCUCGUCGGCGC